AUGAGCGCCUGGAGACCCCGGAGCGGGGCUCUCUCUUCGCCAGGGACGGGGUCUUGGUCGUGGCGGUGCUGGUGGUGGUGGGUUGUGGUAAUCGGGGUGUCAGUGGGCUCUGGAGAUCCGUGGAUGUCCGCGGAGGCAUGCCCGUCGUUUUGUUCUUGCAGUAGCACCAGGAUCUCCUGCGUGGACCCGGAGAGGGGUAUCACUGCUUUCCCCGUCCUGCAGAGCGAGGCGGAGAUGGAGAACAUCACCGAAAUUUACAUCGCCAACCAGGGCAGCUUCUCCUCCAUCAACGACAAAGACCUGCACUACUACAAGAAUCUCAGGAACCUAACGGUGACCAACAGCAGGCUAACCUAUGUUUCGAAGCUGGCUUUUCAAAACAAUAUCAAGAUACAGUACCUGAACCUGAAAGAUAACAACCUGUCAUCGCUGUCCUGGAGGAUAUUCAAACACCUUAACAUCUCUUAUCUGAUCCUGACAGGGAACCCUCUGCACUGCUCCUGUGAGAACAUGUGGAUCAAGCUGUUGUUAGGAGAGGAAGCAGACACUCAGGAGCUGCGCUGCAUUGAGGAUGGAGGAGGACGCAAGCUGCUGUCCAGGCUGACACUACCGAACUGUGAGGUUCCCAAGGCAAUGUUGAGCCCAUCCAAAGUGAGACUUAGGGAGGGGAACCACAUGGACUUGUCCUGCACGACCUCUGGGGUGCCCUCACCUGAGCUGAUAUGGAACAUGGUGUUGGUCUCCAACUAUGAGAUUGAGACAUCGGGACAGAUUUCGUGGCUUCGACUGUCCAACCUGUCAUCGCUGGACCACAACAGCAAGAUCAGCUGCACAGCUGAGAACAUUGUUGGAGAGAAAGAGUCCUCGCUGCUGCUGGAUAUACUCUUUCCUCCCAAAAUCACUAAACUGAGUGAUGCAAUCCCUGACCACCACUGGUGCAUCCCCUUCAGUGUGGCAGGAAACCCGACGCCGCAGCUACAAUGGUUUCUGGAUGGCAAAGCGGUGACUGAGGGGGUCUACAUCAUGACCAUGAUCCAUGACGUCACGGAGAGAGAGUACCACGGCUGCCUGCAGCUAGACAGCCCCACACACCUUAACAAUGGCCGCUACACGCUCGUGGCUACAAACGAAUAUGGAACGGACCAAAAGGAGGUGCAGGCUCACUUCAUGCACAAGCCCUGGGAUGGAACAGACAAGGAGCCGUACUAUUAUGUUGCUGAGGAUCUAACCACAGGGGCCCCCCCUGACCCUGUAGACCCUCCUGAAGACAGAGUUGCUGUGUACGUGGUGGUGGGCAUUGCUGCUGUCGCCUUCACUGGUUUCCUUCUAAUGUUGGUUGUUCUCAAGUUUGGAGGAAACUCCAAGUUUGGCAUCAAAGGACCAUCUUCUGUGAUCAGUAACGAUGAUGACUCGGCCUCUCCUCUUCACCACGUCUCCAAUGGCAGCAACACUCCUUCAUCCUCAGAGAUGGGCCCUGACGCGGUAAUCAUUGGCAUGACCAAGAUCCCGGUGAUAGAAAACCCUCAGUACUUCAGGAGCACAAACAGCCUGCUCAAAACUGACACCUUUGUCCAGCAUAUCAAGCGACACAACAUUGUGUUGAAGAGAGAGCUGGGAGAAGGAGCCUUCGGAAAAGUCUUCCUGGCUGAGUGUUACAACCUCUCACCUGACCAGGAGAAGAUACUAGUGGCUGUCAAGACACUUAAAGAGGCCAGUGAAAAUGCCAGGAAGGAUUUCCACCGUGAGGCUGAGCUGCUGACCAACCUUCAACAUGAACACAUUGUCACGUUCUAUGGAGUCUGUGUGGAGAGCGACCCUCUCAUCAUGGUGUUUGAGUACAUGAAACAUGGAGACCUCAACAAGUUCCUCAGGGCUCACGGUCCGGAUGCAGUUCUGAUGGCAGAGGGUCAGACCACCAGACCUGUGGAGCUGACCCAGUCUCAGAUGCUGCACAUCGCCCAGCAGAUAGCAUCUGGCAUGGUCUACCUGGCAUCACAGCACUUUGUGCACCGCGACCUGGCCACCAGGAACUGCCUGGUGGGCGAGAACCUGCUGGUAAAGAUUGGAGACUUUGGCAUGUCGAGAGACGUCUACAGCACUGACUACUACAGGGUAGGUGUCGGAGGUCACACCAUGUUACCAAUCCGUUGGAUGCCCCCUGAGAGCAUCAUGUACAGAAAGUUCACCACAGAAAGUGAUGUUUGGAGUCUCGGAGUUGUUCUGUGGGAGAUCUUCACCUAUGGGAAACAGCCUUGGUACCAGCUAUCCAAUAAUGAGGUGAUAGAGUGUAUAACCCAGGGCAGGGUGCUGCAGCGCCCCAGGACCUGUCUUAAAGAAGUCUACGACCUGAUGCUGGGCUGCUGGCAGCGAGAGCCGCACAUGAGACUCAACAUCAAAGAAAUCCACUGUCUGCUCCUCAAUCUGGCCAAAGCCUCACCUGUAUACCUGGAUAUACUGGGCUGAACGAGGGCGAGGACCGAGGAUGUGUCUGUGUGUGUGUGAGUGUGUGUGUGUGUGUGUGUGUGUGUUUGGGUGGUGAUGAUUACUGUACCUUAGUGUGUAUGUGCAUUUGAGGUUGCAUGCAUGUGUGUGUGUGUGUGUGUGUGUAUGUGUCUGUGUGUGAUAGGGUGGACACGGUGACACCUGUGAAAUAAAGGAAGUGUGCAGUGCUCGUGCUGUACAGGAUUUGAAGCUAUUAUCAAACUCUUAAAAAGGCAAUCAAAAUAUUCCUCAACUCAUCUCCAACUGCGUCUUUCCUCCCUGCCAAUUUCCUCUCCUUUGUGCAUCUCUACUCCUUCCCUCUUCACUUCCCGGAAAGACAUUUACUAAGAAUAGUUUAACUUUUGGGGGAAAAAAACUUCUCACUUCUUUUCAAAUGCUUUAAACUGUUCUGGGGCUAAAUUGAUGCAAACCGGAUUAACAGGACUUUAAAUUUAAUGACUCAUUCCUCGCUGCCUGUCGGACAACAGGACUUGUAUGAACAUCCGGGAAUUUCAAGGAGGCGUACCGUUGGGGGGAUUUCCGGACGCUUCUAUCUUUUUGCGUGUAAAUAUGAGACCGUAUGGCGGCAAGACGUUUCAAAGGAAAUGGCUCUGUGCUAUGUCGAGCCAUAAAGACACUGUGUUUUCCCCGCUCACACUGUCUAUCUGUGUGUCUGUCUGUCUUUCUGGCAGUUCUUCAGAACUGUACAUGAGUGUUAUUGUCAGUAUUAAUCCAAAUGGCCAGAGGAAAUGUCCGAAGAUUAACACACUGGUACACACACAUUAUAUUGAGUCUAACAGAAAAACAACCUGGAAAAGUAAACACUAAAUCAGGUUUUCUGCCUGUCAAGUAAAAUCAGGAGAGAUGACAAAGAUUAUUUCGGGUUGGCCAAUUUCACUUAAAAAACGAUCACUAACAAUACAGUGCCUACUAAAGCUAAACUGAACUGCUGUGGGGAAAAUGGGAUUCUAGUAUACUGUAAUUGUGAAUUCUAGAAAUGUAAAAAAAAAAAGGUUGAUCUGUCUGGCACUGAUCUAUAAUCUCUCCUCAUGCAAGAGUCUGAUAUACAUGAUUAUAAGGAUAUAUGCACUCAUAUCCGUAUAUUGUUUUCUGUUACAUAUUUACUUUGCUCAGGCCUGGACGGCACUGUCAUACGGCACAGUGUAACAUGAAGACUACAUUUCUUUUUUCUUCCCCGAAGUGACAGAUGCUUCACUUGUGAUGUCAAGCGCUCGGUCGAAGGUCAAUUGAUUAAUUUGUCCGCAGCUGUCUUGGUGUUGUGGGGUUGUGGGGUGUAAAAGUUGCUAAGGGAGGCUGAGUUCUGAGUGGUCAGAUCACGGUCAGAUGUGUGGGCGACGGCACUGUAGAAGGUGUGGUUCAAUUGGUCAACCCAUAUUAAAUCAUCAAGGCUCUCAGCACUUAGACAUCCUUGAAAACCACAUCUGUGCUAGAGAGGGGAGAAACACACACACACACACACACACACACACACAAAACAAAACUAGACGGGACGGGAAGGAAAUUGAAUUGUGCAUGUUUUAUUAUUUGAGCGGUGCAGUGCUUUAGCCAGGCCCCGUCCACUGUAAUGGUGUAAUGUAUAUUUCAUUACAGCCUAAUGGUCUCCAUUAGCACAGUCUCCUCACAGACAUUCAAGACUUAUUGUUUUAUGGCUGAGAAGGAAAGAUGGAGGGAUGGAGAGGAGAGGUAAAGGAGAAGAAAACAGAGAGAGGAUGGGGGCCUGGAAUGAGGAGCAAUGGAGAGGGGAAAUAAGAGGAGAGGUAAUAAUGCAUAGUGAGAAAGUUCAGAACCGAAGCAAUGGAGUAGAAACAAGAAGAGGAUGGGAGUGAAUAGGUAUGAAUGGGUCAUGUAGAGACAGAUGAAGGAGAAAGAGAAGAUAUUGGAGUGAAAAAGCCGAAGGAGAGGGGGGAAGAGAGGAGGUGUGAAUGUCCUCGGGGAGAAAGCGAACGUGAACAUCCAUCAUCACUGUGGCCCGCAGGUGUCCUGUAAAGCCACAACUUUAACUUGACGCUCCCAUCACAUUCCUCCGGUCGGCCUCAAACCACAUGCACACGCAAACACACUUCACACACGUUUUACUGGCAAUCCCCCAACAGCUUACACUAAAAAAUGGACUCUAAUGCACCACACAUCCCCAUUAUUGAGAACCACUUCACACACUUACGGUACAGCUCACACACUGUAUCUGGUCAAAAUGCUUACAGACACCUCUGUAUAUACAACAGCUCACAUGCAUGCAAGGAAACACAUUUAAUGUUUGUUUUUGCAUUUUUCUGGGGCAUAUUUUACUCUUUAAAGACUAGAAUCACAAUCACUGAUGUUUCACAAUAACAGCCAUUUGAAUGAGCUGUAAAACAUCAAUCUGGAAUAAUAAGUCUUUUUGUUUAAUACCAACACUUGAUAGUGAUGAUGUUUGUGAACUUGAAAAUGUUACUUUGAUUGAUUUAUAGUAUAAUUUAUAAAUUUAGGAGCUUUUUGUACAUUUCUUUGUAUAUCUAAGGUUGCCUUUUGCACCAACAAAGUGAAAAUUGAUAACUGGUUUAAUUAACUAUGUUUUAGCUAUUGUGUAAGAUAAUCUUGAGUGUAAAUGUAUUGCUAUGUCAGGCUCCCCCUUAACAGCUACUUAGCCUGUCCUCAUGUUCAGCGUACUCUACAACCGGGAUGGAUGUUUCACCUUGUCUGCCACGGUUGGAGAUUUCUUUGGACAAUGAUUGCCACCUGUCAUGAAUGUGAGGGGUUGAUGGCUUCAGCCUUGACGCGGCAGGCUAACAAGGUCCACAAAAUCCAUCCCUGCUGUAUAGUCAAGUAGAGUUUGCACUGAGUUAGCACACUCAAAACAAUUAAACUGGCCACACAAUAACUCUGCGCAAUAACAGAGGGCAGGGGGUGUGAGGGAACAAACAGGGUGCAUAUAAAUGCCUACGAUGUCAAAAUAGUGCAGUACGUCACGCAACAUCUCAGCUGACUGCACUGUGUACCUGAUGUGUUUCCUUUUUUUAUUUUUAAAGAACGAACUGUGUCAAGUUGAACAACGGUGAUGAUUUUUGACAGUUAUAGGAAGAGGCUGUGAGAGAGGGGUUUGUCACAAUGAGGACUUGUCAGCACAACCCAGCUGCGCUCUGUGAAUCUUUACAUGGAACUCCAGCUAAAGAUCAGCUGUCUUUGCAUCGAUGCCUCAGAUCAAAGAUUUUGGUGAAACAAAGAGAAGAAAAACUGGAGGAAGAACAACUGCUGUAUGAAUGGACACCUCAGAUAAGGAGGAACUGACAAUCACAGACUUCUCUCUUUCUCCCUCUUCUUCAAGUGACCUACUGUAAAAUAGACUACUCAACCAACUUCCCUCUUCUAUGCUGCCUAUACUGUACGUGAUAGUCUUAAACCUUGGUCUCUAGAAGUGCUACUUUUUUUUUUUGUAAAAGGAAAUAACAGCGAGAGGAAUGAACAAAAUACAUGUACAAAUGUGAAUAAGCCGCUGAAAGAAAUAAGCGUUGCUAACUGCUGUGUCCAAGACUGUGUCAGUAUCUAGAUUGUGAUAUUUUCUUCUUUUUGUCUUAGAAGUGGAGGGCAGAGAAAUUGGUUAGGUGCGUGGGACUCACAAAUACUUAAAAUGACAUGCAGCUGCCCCUAGAUUUAUUUGCUCAUUCUCCUGGUUGCGUGUUUGUGUGUGUGUGUGUGGAGAAGACGGAUUAAUGCCAGAGUGAGUCAGGAGGGGUUUGAGUCAGUCUACCCAUACCAAUACCCAGUCUUGCAGGACUGAGGUUGGCAUUAUGGCAGCUAAGAUUUAUUGAAUCACUCAAUUGCUUCAUUUACGACUAAAAUACACCUUCUCUAAACAGCUUACUUCAGCCUGUGUUUUGGAGAAGUACUGUAUAUCAACAACAUUAAUAGAUACUUUCUUUUGCCUAUCACCUCCCUAUAUCAUAAAUAUCAGGCUUAGUUUGAGCUAAAUGUGACUCAUAUAUUCCUCAUACAGAUACACAUCACAACUUUGAGUGUGGUAUGUAUCACAUGUAAUCCCUCUCUCGCUCUCUCUCUCCCUCACAAAAGCUAAUAGAGCGGAGCGAAAUAUCGUAAAAGAUUACCUUUGUUCUUGGAUGCUUCUGGAAUCUCUAAGCCCUAAAGAAUGCAAUACCACAAAAACUGCUUAACUACUGCAAAAAAAGAAAAAUUAAACUGUGAUUUGCUGUAUGCAGCAUCUCUGUUUUUCAGUAUUUUUUCUGUUCUGUGCUAUUUGUCUUAUGUGUUUAGAGGGUUUUGCUGCCGCCCCCGUGGUAGCAAAA